rnacentral:rRNA from 1 species
UGGGGAAUAUUGCACAAUGGGCGCAAGCCUGAUGCAGCCAUGCCGCGUGUAUGAAGAAGGCCUUCGGGUUGUAAAGUACUUUCAGCGGGGAGGAAGGCGAUAAGGUUAAUAACCUUGUCGAUUGACGUUACCCGCAGAAGAAGCACCGGCUAACUCCGUGCCAGCAGCCGCGGUAAUACGGAGGGUGCAAGCGUUAAUCGGAAUUACUGGGCGUAAAGCGCACGCAGGCGGUCUGUCAAGUCGGAUGUGAAAUCCCCGGGCUCAACCUGGGAACUGCAUUCGAAACUGGCAGGCUAGAGUCUUGUAGAGGGGGGUAGAAUUCCAGGUGUAGUGGUGAAAUGCGUAGAGAUCUGGAGGAAUACCGGUGGCGAAGGCGGCCCCCUGGACAAAGACUGACGCUCAGGUGCGAAAGCGUGGGAGCAAACA